CGUAAUUCCAAGAGAGAGAGUGAAUUGGUAUUUUCAAAAUUGAUGCCCUUGGUCAAACCCCUAACAGCAGUAUUACACAACUCUAAGGUUAAUCUAGUGCAAAUAAAUUAACUCAAUUUAAAUACACAACGAAAAUUAAAUUGUAUAAUUAAAUUAAUCAAGUGUGCACAAGAAAGCUGUAAAUAAAGAUUACAUCCAAAAAUGUUAUCGAAGUUCGGCAAAUUGCCUAUGUCCUUGCCUUGACUAACAAGUACAAAAAUUAUCACUGUAAGGCUCACUUAACGGGUAGAGCGGCACCUAAACAAUCAGAUCAAUUAGCAUAGAACUGAUCUCAACCUUUACAAAUAAUUUUUACCGAGCUGAAUUACCGCCCCCUCAAGCCACGUGAGAAUUUAAAAUUUAUUUAUUUAUUUAUAUAAAUUAUAUAGACAAACCAAAGUCAGCAUCCUUGGAUUGGCAGAGAAGGUGUCAAAUAGUUACAGGUGUGGCAAGAGGUCUUCUAUGCCUGCAUGAAGAGGCUCCUGAAAGGAUUAUUCAUAGAGACAUCAAAGCCAGUAAUAUACAGAGUUGAAUCCAAAGAUAUCAGAUUUUGGCUUGGCAAGGCUUUUUCCUCGGUAAGGCUCCCAUACACUGACAUUUAGGAUUUUUGGUACUCGGUGAGUAAUUUUCUUGCUUCAGAUCUUUGUGUUGCUUACUGCUAAAACCUCACACUUGGUCAUUUUAUUGUCUUCUUUAUUUAAGUUUCCCUUGGCUAGUAUUAUAGUUGACAUUUCCAGGAGGAUCCUCGUGGAAAUUGAAACGUGCAACCCAAAACUUUUGUUGGAUUGCAGUGGUUACAUGGCUCCUGAAUACCGCUUUACAUGGAUACUUGUCAGUGAAGUCUGACGUUUUUAGCUUUGUUGAUUUGGUGUUGGAGAUUGUGUGGGAGAAAGAAUCAUGAUGGGCGGCUUGGUGCAGAAAAGGUGCUGGUGCUGUAGAAUUCAUCAUUUGCUUUCGUAGAAGUAAAAAGGAUUCCUGAGACCUGGGCACUCUUUCAAAGAGGCAAGGCAUUGGAGUUGGUUGAUCUUAGCCUUUCCAAGUGCAAGCACAACCCUGAUGAGGCAGCAAUGUGCAUACAACUAGGGUUGCUAUGUAGUCAAGCAAGCAUUCAAGACAGGCCUGACAUGAAUUCUGUUAAUCUCAUGCUGUCAAGUGACUCGUUUACUUUGCCUAAACCUGGAAGACCAGGCAUUCAGGGUCGCCAAGGGCGGUGGACUUCUACAAGUACUUCCGCUCUCACUAGCACUAAUCGUACCAGCAGUACAUGCACCAGUGCCACCAAGAUUUAUCUUAAGAAAAUUAUCGUAUGUUUGCCAUUGAAACGGUGAAAAUCAGAAAAGAUAAUAAAUAGCAAUACAAGUCUGUUAGGAAACCUUAUUUGAAAGAGCAUAUGUAUAGGAAAACACUCACAGUUUUCAUCGCCACUGCCUGACUGUCACCGCAUGUUGCCAUCACCGAUUACUCUGAAAACACGGCCCAAGAUCAGAUUGAGAGAGCGAGGGGUCAAGAGAGAGAGAGAGAAGCUUCACGGGCAAAAGCUAAGGCCACUAGAUAUAAAGGGAUACAAUGUUAGUGGUCAACCUGAUCGCAACGGUUGGAAAAUAAA